UCUCUUCAUUCGUCUUCAUAGCCAGUUGGAAGCAGAUUCACAUGAGGGUUACGGUUACCAUCUUCCCAUAGAUAGGGCUUGGUUCUGAUGCGCAGGUGCGGUUAGGUGAUGAACUCGGGUCUCUCCUCCUCUCCGUGGUACGACUUCAAGAAAACAUUUGGCAUGCUCACUCCUGCCCCAAGCGCCACCACGAAAAAGGUCAGCAUAACAAAACAAAACAUAGAGGACCUCAAGGGAAAACAAGACAUUCUGUGAAAGAUUGGCUGAAACCUUGUGGAGAGGGGAGAUCCAGGAGGGCCUUUCGUGAACCACCCAUGCUUGCAGAAUCUUCUGUAUCACCUAAAACAGGAAGCAGGUCUGCAAAGAGAAGUGAGCAUGGGGUGAGACAGAGGAUGCAUAUGUGACGAAGGACUCAACUAAGUAGUGAGGGGCAAGGGAACAAAGGUAAGGUGUUAAGAAAAAGAAAACCUUGGUUG
rnacentral:lncRNA from 1 species